rnacentral:ncRNA from 1 species
ACUGCUGAAUGCAUAUAAGUAGGAAGCCCACCUCAAGAUGAGUGCUCUUUAAGAUCAUGACUAGACUAGUCGUUUAAUAGGUAUUAAGUGUAAAAUUAGUAAUUUUUUGAGCUGAGAUAUACUAGUAGAUCAAAAGUUUUAUCCUA